GACGUAGGGCGCCGAGCGUUGUCCGGAUUUAUUGGGCGUAAAGGGCGCGUAGCGGGAGUGCCAGUCAGAUGUGAAAUCCCGAGGCUCAACCUCGGAACAGCAUUUGAAACUACACUCUAGAGGGUAGGCGGAGAAAACGGAAUUCCACAAGUAGCCGGUGAAAUGCGUAGAUAUGUGGAGGAACACCGAUGGCGAAGGCAAUCCCCUGGGCCUGCACUGACGCUCAUGCACGAAGCGUGGGAGCAACAGG
rnacentral:rRNA from 1 species